rnacentral:rRNA from 1 species
AGUGAACGCUGGCGGUAGGCCUAACACAUGCAAGUCGAACGGCAGCACAGUAAGAGCUUGCUCUUACGGGUGGCGAGUGGCGGACGGGUGAGGAAUACAUCGGAAUCUACUUUUUCGUGGGGGAUAACGUAGGGAAACUUACGCUAAUACCGCAUACGACCUACGGGUGAAAGCAGGGGAUCUUCGGACCUUGCGCGAUUGAAUGAGCCGAUGUCGGAUUAGCUAGUUGGCGGGGUAAAGGCCCACCAAGGCGACGAUCCGUAGCUGGUCUGAGAGGAUGAGAACCCACAGGGGCAUGGGGACAGGGACAAGCCCCAGACGGGGACGAGAAGCGGGAAUGGGGGGAAGAGGGCCGAGGGCGGAACCCAGCCACAGCGGGGGGGGGAGGAGGACUUCGGGUUUGUAGACCUUUUUUUUGGGAGAGGAAAAGGAGGAGAUAAAUACCCCCUUGUGGUGACGGUACAAAAAGAAGAAGCACCGGCUAACUGCGGG